CAGGGAGACAACACAAUGAUUUUGAUGCCUGAGUGCUUUUAUUCUUAGGCCGAAAUCCUGUCACCUUAGGUCGAUCGGUACCUCAGCUUUGAAGUCAAGGAUCAGCAGCAAUGUUGAUUGCUUGAUGGAGAUUUUCAGUUCCUAAACUUUGUCUAGGUCACACCCCAAAAGGGAUGAGACUCCUGGGCCAUUAGCUCAGGUGGUUAGAGCGCACCCCUGAUAAGGGUGAGGUCCCUGGUUCAAGUCCAGGAUGGCCCAUUCGGUGUUGGGGGUUUAGCUCAGUUGGUAGAGCGCCUGCUUUGCAAGCAGGAUGUCAGGAGUUCGAGUCUCCUAACCUCCACUGACCGAACUUGAUUCCCAUCUCCAAUUUUUUUGGAGUUGAGCUCGAUUGGAGUGUGAUUUAGAUGUGUCCGCUGGAUGACCCCAGCUUCCUGUCAUUCCAAGUUUUAGGUUAAGGCCUUGAAUUUGGUUGAUAAGAUGCUGGGCUCGGAUCAAAUGAUCAAGCAAUUGAUGAUUUGAUUUGAAGUUCUAGCAGAACCUUGACAACUGCAUAGGUGAGUCUGGAAAAAACAAAGCAUCUUACAGAUGCAUUGUUUUGAAUCUGAUCCUCUGAAAGGGAGAUUGGAUCUAGAACAAUGAAAAUUCUUUUGAGCAAGAGCCGAGACUCUUGAGCGUUCUUUGAUUGGUGUCGAGCCAAUCAGAGUUCGAUCUUGUUUUUAGCAAUAAAAACUUGAGAAUCUGCUUUCAACGGCGGUAAGCGUUUAAGAGGUUAAUU
rnacentral:tRNA from 1 species